rnacentral:rRNA from 1 species
UGCGUAGACGGGAAUACAAGUUAGUUGUGAAAUCCCUCGGCUUAACUGAGGAACUGCAACUAAAACUAUAUUUCUUGAGUGUUGGAGAGGAAAGCGGAAUUCCUAGUGUAGCGGUGAAAUGCGUAGAUAUUAGGAGGAACACCAGUGGCGAAGGCGGCUUUCUGGACAAUAACUGACGUUGAGGCACGAAAGUGUGGGGAGCAAACAG